GGCUCAGAACGAACGCUGGCGGCACGUUUUAAGCAUGCAAGUCGAAUGGCAGCAGGGGCAACUCUGUGAGAAUGGCGAACGGGUGAGUAACACGUAGGUGAUCUGCCUGACGGAUGGGGAUAGCCUGUGGAAACACAGGGUAAUACCGAAUGAGCUGACGAGACUUUGGUUUUGUCAGUAAAGGUGCUACGGCGCCGCCGACAGAGGAGCCUGCGGCUGAUUAGCUAGUUGGUGGGGUAAAGGCCUACCAAGGCGACGAUCAGUAGCCGGCCUGAGAGGGUGUACGGCCACACUGGAACUGAGACACGGUCCAGACUCCUACGGGAGGCAGCAGCUAAGAAUCUUCCGCAAUGGGCGAAAGCCUGACGGAGCGAUGCCGCGUGAUCGAUGAAGGUCGAGAGAUUGUAAAGAUCUUUUCCACAUGAGGAAUAAGCCUGGGAGGGAAUGCCUGGGUGAUGACGUUAGUGUGGGAAUAAGCCCCGGCUAAUUACGUGCCAGCAGCCGCGGUAACACGUAAGGGGCGAGCGUUGUUCGGAAUUAUUGGGCGUAAAGGGCACGCAGGCGGUUAUGCAAGUCUGAUGUGAAAUCUCCGGGCUUAACUCGGAAUCCGCGUUGGAAACUGCAUGACUAGAGUAUUAGAGGGGGAGUCGGAAUUCCUAGUGUAGGGGUGAAAUCUGUUGAUAUUAGGAAGAACACCGGUGGCGAAGGCGGACUCCUGGCUGAAUACUGACGCUGAGGUGCGAAAGCAUAGGGAGCAAACAGGAUUAGAUACCCUGGUAGUCUAUGCUGUAAACGAUGUGCACUUGGUGUUGGGCCGAUUAGGCUCAGUGCCGAAGCUAACGCGAUAAGUGCACCGCCUGGGGAGUAU
rnacentral:rRNA from 1 species